AGAGUUUGAUCAUGGCUCAGAAUCAACGCUGGCGGCGCGCUUAACACAUGCAAGUCGCACGAGAAAGGGGAGCAAUCCCUAAGUAAAGUGGCGUACGGGUGAGUAACACGUGGAUCAUCUACCUUUUAGUGGGGAAUACCCCCGGGAAACUGGGGACAAUACCGCAUAAGCUCGUGAGAGGAAAGCAGCAAUGCGCUGAAAGAGGAGUCCGCGGCUGAUUAGCUAGUUGGUGAGGUAACGGCCCACCAAGGCGAAGAUCGGUAGCCGGCCUGAGAGGGCACACGGCCACACUGGCACUGAAACACGGGCCAGACUCCUACGGGAGGCAGCAGUGGGGAAUCUUGCACAAUGGGGGAAACCCUGAUGCAGCGACGCCGCGUGAGUGAUGAAGCCCUUCGGGGUGUAAAGCUCUUUCGACGGGAAAGAUUAUGACGGUACCCGAAGAAGAAGCUGCGGCUAACUACGUGCCAGCAGCCGCGGUAAUACGUAGGCAGCAAGCGUUGUUCGGAAUUACUGGGCGUAAAGAGUGUGUAGGCGGUGCUCUAAGUCUGUUGUGAAAUCUCCCGGCUUAACUGGGAGGGUGCGGCGGAAACUAGUGUGCUAGAGGGUGGGAGAGGUAAGCGGAAUUCCUGGUGUAGCGGUGAAAUGCGUAGAUAUCAGGAGGAACACCUGUGGUGUAGACAGCUUACUGGACCACUUCUGACGCUGAGACACGAAAGCGUGGGUAGCAAACAGGAUUAGAUACCCUAGUAGUCC
rnacentral:rRNA from 1 species